rnacentral:tRNA from 1 species
CCCUCGAUAGCUCUGUUGGCAGAGCGGAGGGACUGUAGAUGUUACAACGGUGAUCCUUAGGUCGCUGGUUCAAAUCCGGCUCGAGGGA